GGCGACGCCCCCGGGAAUCCUCCCGCCGAAGCCCCCUAGUGGAGGCUGCUUCUGCAGCCAGGCCCCGUUUCCUUUAAUUCAGUAUUUUCCAAACUUGCUUGUUCACGAGAAUCACGUGGGGAGCGUGUUAAAAUUACAGAUUCCUUGGCUCCACCCGCAGGCCUACUGAAUCAGAAUCUCGAAGGGAGGUACUCCGGAACCUGUAUCUCUAACUAGGGCCCCAGAGGCUGCUUAUGAUCAGCACCCCAGCAUCCUUUCAAUAAAUGCCUGCCCUUUGUGGCCUGCAACCAGAGGAACUGCAACUAGCACACUCACUGAAGGAAUCCUGCUGCUGCUGCUGCUGCUAAAAACAACCGAGGUCAUGGAUGAGGGGGUGGAGGAUACUCUCAUCCCACCUCCAGACUGACAACAAAAAGACCUAAAGAUCUCUGUGUACCUGGGACUGUCUACCAUUGAAGAUUAGCCAUGGUAACUUGUUGACUUAGUGAUCAACUUCCUGCAGAAGCCCAUAGGUCCACCUGGACUCUGCCCAGGCCAGCGUGUUCUGAAAAUGGAGGGCUCUGUCACCAUUCACUCAACAAAUGUUUAUUCUGCACUGACCGAGGGCCAGAUGUACCAAGAGCUGUGGACACAGCACUCCAACUUACUCCAGGGCUACUGAAAUCAGGGAUGGCUUCCCCAAAAGGCACACUAAGGAAAGUCUAUGUCACUAGCAGAGAAGAGGCACCAAAGACAAAAAAUCAAAAAAGAAAAAAUACCAGAAACAGUUUGACAUUUGAUUUUUUUUAAGUAGUCCUCGUGGGAAAAAUCAGAACUUUGUUGUACUUCCUUACAUUCAUUUCCUGAUUACAUGAUGCUUUUGUUUUGAAUCACGUGUGGAGGGUGUCACCAAAAUCUUUAGAUGCUUUGUCCUUAUGUGGAUCUGGACCCAGAUCCUAGCAAAUGUUACCAUCUCUGCCUCACAAAGAUCUGACAGAAUGCAGGCAGUUGGGGCUAUCCUUAGGAGAGACAGCUCUCCUUCGCAGUAGAUGCACCUGGGUGAUAAAUCCAACUCUGACCACAAGGUGGCAAAAGAGUAAAUGACAAUUCCUCAUAUAUGUUUUGUAUGUUUAUAUAAAACUAUUGGUUUAUAUAAAAUGCUCUCUAAAAAUAUUAAGAAAAACGUGUGCUCCUUCACACAUUUUUGGGUUGAUGUCUGAUAUUUUGCAUCACAAAUGUCAAUUGGCUACAAAUAAUGUAAUUUGUGACAAAUGUUAAUAUUCAAAAAUAAAACUGUUAUGUCACUAUUUCACAUGAAUCCGGUGAAACCUAAAUACCUUAGUGACUUGAGAGCCACCAUCAUCUGUUUUAAAAAUGUAUAACUGAGCUCUUCUUUGAUACUUGGAAGUUGUACAUUUUCCCUUUUCUCAGCUCUUAAUUCCAUUCUGUUUUUCCAACAGAAUUUUGUCUCAAUAAUUGUCUGUUUUUUCACUUGAAAUGUUUUUGAUUAUCCUAUCGUAUUUCUCUGCAGCAAAAAUGUGUAUAUAUUUUUCAAUUUAAAUGCUCUUUAAAUGUUCCUCUGAUUAUAAGGCUCUAAGUGUUGUUUAAAAAUUUGCUCUUGUUUGAAUUAUCAUGACAAUUAGUAUUAGAAUAAAAUGGAUCAAAAC
rnacentral:lncRNA from 1 species